UGCAAUACUAAACCAGCACCAAGGAACUAAAAUCCCCAACAGCCCCAAAAUGAAAAGACCCAGUGCUGAUUACAGGAGAUCCAAGUGCAGGGGGGUGGUGUCUAAUAUAGGACAUUUAGUCUCAAAACAUCAUUGCACAACUUUUUCCAGACAAUACUCUCGAUUUCUCCAUGCCUCUCAACACUGCAUGGAGUUAUACAAAGGCCAUCCACAACUACUCGGCUAAGAGCUUACUAGACUAUUAUGGCACACAGCAAGCAAAAAAAUAAACUUACUCAGUGCUUGCAGAGCCAUUUUGCUUGCCUGCAACUCAAUUACCAAUGUUUCAUUUUUCAUCUUUCCUUUUAUGGGAGAGUGGAGGAAGAAGGGAUGCACAUAAUCCAGACAAUCCUCUCCUUUACAAGCUGCAGGGUGACCGUCAGUCGCAGUAACAGACCCUUUUGAAAAGGAAACAGAUUGCACUGUUUCGAUGGGAUGUCGUUGCAUUUUGACACCGGAGAACAUGCAGCUCCCGUGGACUGACUCACCGGCCAAGCGAAACUGAAGGGGAGUACAAUCCUGCGUUCGCUGUUGCUGUUGCCCGCCUUCAAGUUAAAGGUAUUCCCUCCGAUGACCGGGGUCGAGGAGAAUCCGAAGCUGCAGGGUCCGCCGGGGGAGACACGGGACUGAUACUCCUUGAGGCAGACUUUGAAGAAAGUGUUACACUGAGCCCGCAUGCACUUGCGGUCUUGGUUUCUGGCGCUCCCUUCGCAACAGUUCCCAUUCUGCAACUCGCCGUUAACAUUCUGCAUAAAGUUUAUCUGCAACUCGAACUGCCCCGAAGCCUGGGAAAGCUGCAGGAGGACAAUUAUUUUUGUUUUUUUUUAAAAAAUAAAAGCGACAAGUUUUAAAAAUAAAA